UACGUAGGGUGCGAGCGUUGUCCGGAAUUAUUGGGCGUAAAGGGCUCGUAGGCGGUUUGUCGCGUCGGGAGUGAAAACACUGGGCUUAACCGAGUGCUUGCUUUCGAUACGGGCAGACUUGAGGCAUUCAGGGGAGAACGGAAUUCCUGGUGUAGCGGUGAAAUGCGCAGAUAUCAGGAAGAACACCCGUGGCGAAGGCGGUUCUCUGGGACGGUACUGACGCUGAGACGCGAAAGCGUGGGGAGCGAACAGG
rnacentral:rRNA from 1 species